rnacentral:pre_miRNA from 1 species
CUACUACUCCCUCCGUUCGGAAUUACUUGUCUCGGAAAUGGAUGUAUCUAGAACUAAAAUACAUCUAGAUACAUCUAUUUCUGCGACAAGUAAUUCCGAACGAAGGGAGUAUCAU